AUUGAACGCUGGCGGCAGGCUUAACACAUGCAAGUCGAGCGGAGCGAGGGUGCUUGCACCUUAGCUUAGCGGCGGACGGGUGAGUAAUGCUUAGGAAUCUGCCUGUUAGUGGGGGACAACAUUCCGAAAGGAAUGCUAAUACCGCAUACGCCCUACGGGGGAAAGCAGGGGAUCUUCGGACCUUGCGCUAAUAGAUGAGCCUAAGUCGGAUUAGCUAGUUGGUGGGGUAAAGGCCUACCAAGGCGACGAUCUGUAGCGGGUCUGAGAGGAUGAUCCGCCACACUGGGACUGAGACACGGCCCAGACUCCUACGGGAGGCAGCAGUGGGGAAUAUUGGACAAUGGGCGGAAGCCUGAUCCAGCCAUGCCGCGUGUGUGGAGAAGGCCUUUUGGUUGUAAAGCACUUUAAGCGAGGAGGAGGCUACUUAGAUUAAUACUCUGGGAUAGUGGACGUUACUCGCAGAAUAAGCACCGGCUAACUCUGUGCCAGCCGCCGCGGUAAGAC
rnacentral:rRNA from 1 species